rnacentral:rRNA from 1 species
GUGGGGAAUUUUGGACAAUGGGCGCAAGCCUGAUCCAGCAAUGCCGCGUGCAGGAAGAAGGCCUUCGGGUUGUAAACUGCUUUUGUACGGAACGAAACGGUCCUGGUUAAUACCCGGGGCUAAUGACGGUACCGUAAGAAUAAGCACCGGCUAACUACGUGCCAGCAGCCGCGGUAAUACGUAGGGUGCAAGCGUUAAUCGGAAUUACUGGGCGUAAAGCGUGCGCAGGCGGUGCUGUAAGACAGGCGUGAAAUCCCCGGGCUUAACCUGGGAAUUGCGCUUGUGACUGCAGUGCUGGAGUGCGGCAGAGGGGGAUGGAAUUCCGCGUGUAGCAGUGAAAUGCGUAGAUAUGCGGAGGAACACCGAUGGCGAAGGCAAUCCCCUGGGCCCGCACUGACGCUCAUGCACGAAAGCGUGGGGAGCAAACAGGAUUAGAUACCCCAGUAGUCC